ACUGCUUUUCAGUCUUUUGGCCAAAAUCAAGUGCAGUAUCUGUUAUCAGCUUAAUAACUGAUGCAUUCUCUACCUGAAACAUUUAUUUUUAUUUGUGAUUGGAUUUGGGAAUGAAUUGGGGAUAUUUUGUCAAAAUUCAUUUGCAUCCAUAUUUGAGCUUUGAGGCCAGGUCUGCUCCUGUCAUUGAGGACUGGCU